ensembl:lncRNA
UCCCCAUGCCCCUCUCGUUAUAAAGCUGUGUUUCCGCGCUGUGAGUCCCUCCACACAGAACAGCCCAGAGGCGGCAGAGAGACGCACCAACACAUCUCACAUGAGAGAGCGCGCAUCUGUUCUGUCCGCGUGGCUACAUACAGCAGGUGACUGGCUGAGCAUUUACAGAUAAACAUAAGGAGGCGCGGUAUGAACAUCUCCCCUCCCCUCAACAACGCUCGAAGAAAGAUGGCUGUGACAACUCCAACUGUUUUUCCUCCUGUCUCCUUUUUCUUUCUUCUGUUAAACAGGCUCAAAUGUUAUGGUUCCAAAGAACAUCUGGAGGGCGGCCAUGCAACCAGGCCAACAGUUCCACUGAUGGCAAGAGCGCUGUUGGGUGCUUUUGAUGUUGACAUGUUGCUGAAAAGCAACCUGCGAGUUGUUGCUUUCCCCCUACAAAUGCUGUCAUUAAGCGCUUCCCGGGUGCAACAAAAGGACAAGUGGGAACGGCUUACAACUGUAAAAUGCCUGAAUUAAGAAGCAAUGAGAGAAACAAAUAAAAUGAAUAGGAUUAAG